CACCUACAUACACCAGGCAAUAGUCUGAUCCUAAAUGAACAGUCACUUACGUACACCAGUAAAUAGUCCCCCCCAUGCUCCAGUGAUCUGUAAUCUUGUUAACUCUCAGGACUCAGUGAUCUGUUUGUUGUAUUUUCUGAUCCUGGGAUCCAUGAAGUAAUAAACAUCAGUGUGACUCACCUCCACCUGCCUCACCUGUUCCUCAUCACCUGAACACACCUGGAGGACCGUCCAGUCCACAGAAAACCUGACAGGCUGAUUAUUGAUCACAGGAGAGUGGUUGUUACAAGAUUUUGUCAGAAAUUAAAACUUGAUUUGAUAAACAUCUGGGCCGUUUGUUCUUGAAAAAGUUCCACUCAUGACCUGAAAGACAAAAUGGAACUUCAGAGCAGAAAAACAUCAAAGAAAGGAGAAUUUAUUGGAACAUUUUAUUCCUUCAUCGUUCUAAAGUUUACAGGUUAGAAAAACAGCUGCAAGGUUUCUCUGAAACACGAGGAAACAAUCAAAAAGGAAUUGAGAAGGUUUUAGUCGUUUAGGACGAGUCUGGAGUCAUUUUCUAGAAGGUGUUAGUCGUUUUGAACAUGUUUUCAGUUGAAACAUCCAGGAAUUGCUCAGAGUUCAAGUGUUUUUUUUCUUUACAACUUCAGGAAAAACUUAAGAAUAAUUUAAAGUAUAAACUUAUAAAAG